UGAAGACUCAUCUCUUUAUCUGUUCAAUUAUUGUAUCGGUACAUUUUAUUUUGCGUUGUCUGAUUUAUUCCAAUUUAUUGGAAUGCCCACCCAGUUGACUACUUUAAAAUAGUGGACGCCCUCAAGUUCAAUGUCCAUGCUAAAACAGGUUAUAUCUAUGAUGUGUCUAUCUCUAUGGCACACUCUGAUAUAAAAGCUUUCUGUUUUUAAUUUGCCGAAAUGCCACGUGCAUCCACUUAUAUUGGUGCAUUCGCAUAAAUCUAGCAACUACGGAACUUCUAUUCGAUCAAAUAGGCCUGACGUAGCAAAUUAGAAUAACAUUUUUUGUUGACCAAAUUUGACACGCUCUCAUUGACCUCACUACAAAAAUUCCCCACUUCCUGGGUUUAUUUUCUUUGCCAGAUUUUGGGCGGAGUAAAACCUCAAGUCUUGCCUCUUGCUCUCUGACCUUACGGAGUCCCCACAUCUGUUUUUCAGUGGAAACGGAAAUUAAGCUGAAAAUACUGUAUCCGUGAAAACCGGAAACAUCUGCUUUCUCCCCACCCCACUGGAGAGGUAUGACUGGGAAAGCUAACUAGCUGUGAAACCACAGUUUAUAAACCUUUUUAUUUCUACUAUAAUACUACAAUUUUGUUUUCAAGUCAAAGAGCUCAGUGGUAGGGCGAUCAAAUUUUUGGAACCCUCAAAAUCCAGAAUGAGACGACACACAACAUAUGAUGAAGACCUGCGAGAUGCUACCAGGAGGAAAAGCGAGAAGGACCCUAAGGAUAAACAACACGAAUCCACCAUUUACUCAUUCAGGACACAGGAGCAGGACACAGCAGCCACAGGCUUCCAGCGCUUCCUCAAUGUCCUCAACAAAGGGGUGGACAUCAACAAGCUCUCAAAGAUUGUCAACAAUGUGAAUGAGUUACCCCCUAUGCAGGAGGGCCAUCCCAAGACUACCUACAGGAGUGAGGAUAAGGGGGCCCCAGCUCAGAGCUCUCAGGAUUGCUUGGGACCCCACAGUAGAGCUCUGCCACAGGACCACAGUCACUCACACAUUAUUGGAGAAAGGAGGCUGGAUCUCCCACACGGCCAGCUCCAGAGCCUGCUGGAGUCCAUCGGGCUAGACCUGGGGGUGGAGGAGUUGGGCCGACUGUCAGACCGGACCAAGGAGAGGCUGUACGGGAUGAAGAGAGACCAGGAGAGGAGUCCCUUGACGUCAGACAGGCACUCUAGAACUAGAGACUGGGACAGAGAACGAGGCGAGGACACAGAGAGGGACGGAUCUAAGAGAAACGGAGAAAGAGACCGAGAGAGAGACUGGGUCAGUUCUGAGCGAGACCGAGAGAGAGACGGGGACAUAUCUGAGCGAGAUAGGGACAGGCGCUCUAAUACCAGGGACAGGCACUCUGGUUCCAGGGACAGGCGCUCUAGUACCAGGGACAGGGACAGACACUCUGGUACCAGAGACAGCAACAGGGACAGGCGCUCUAGUACCAGGGACAGCGAGAGAGAUAGGCACUCUGAUACCAGGGACAGCGAGAGAGACAGGCACUCUGGUACCAGGGGCAGGCGCUCUAGUACCAGGGACAGAGACGAGGACAGGCGCUCUAGUGCCAGGGACAGAGACGAGGACAGGCGCUCUAGUGCCAGGGACAGAAACAGGGACAGGCGCUCUAGUGCCAGGGACAGGCGCUCUAGUACCAGGGACAGGCGCUCUAAUACCAGGGACAGGCGCUCUAGUACCAGGGACAGGCGCUCUAGUACCAGGGACAGGAACAGGCGCUCUAGUACCACGGACAGGCUCUCUACUAACAGGGACACAGAUAGGGAUAGGUGCUCCAGUAGCAGAGACAGGGACAGGCGCUCUAGUAACAGGGAUAGAGACAGGGACAGGCGCUCUAGUAACAGGGACCGAGACCGGGACAGGCGCUCUAGUGACAGAGACAGGAACAGGCGCUGUAGUACCAGGGACUGUGACAGAGAUGGCGACUGGGCCGAAGGAAGCGACAAUGAUUGGUAUAGGGACAAGUCCAACGAAAGCUCUGCUGACCUCAACACAUACUCAAAGGACCCUAUAUAUCCUUUUUCUCACCCUCCUAAUGCAUCUAUGAUGGCAACCUUCUCCACCACCCAGUUCUCUCUGUAUACCAGCAGACCCUACGCCAAUACCUUCCCUCCAGGUUGGGGUUAUCCCCCUGGCCUUAUGCCCCCUAGCUUUAUGCCCCCUGGUAUUAGGCCCCCUGGUAUUAGGCCCCCUGGUAUUAGGCCCCCUAGUAUUAUGCCCCCUGGUAUUAUGCCCCCUAGUAUUAUGCCCCCUAGUAUUAUGCCCCCUGGUAUUAUGCCCCCUAGUAUUAUGCCCCCUAGUAUUAUGCCCCCUGGUAUUAUGCCCCCUAGUAUUAUGCCCCCUUUUACCAUGCCCCCUGGUACCAAGCCUCCCUUCCCAUACCCCCCCCCCGGGUAUCCACCCUACCUCAGCGCCCCACCAAUUUACUCUAAUAGUACAGCAGCCUCAAGCCAGACAUACACAUACACACAGGCUGCUAGAAACCUCCAGCUCUCAUCUACUCAGCCUGCCAGUAACCACCAGUUAGCAUAUAUCCCACUCCCAUACAACCAGCCCUCUGGCACCCUCCAGCAGCUAAACACCAAGUCCACUGGCAACCUGCUCCAGCUCAUGAACCUCCAACUCCCAAACAGCAAGCCCGCUAGCACCCGCCAGCUUACUUACAUUCAGCCAGCUAGCAACCCCCAGGUCAAAUCUAUCCAGCCUGGUGGGACCCGGCAGCUUAAAUACAUUCAGCCCACUAGCAACCCCCAGGUCACAUCUACCAAGCCCGCUAGCACCCGCCAGCUUACAUACAUCCAGCCUGCUAGCAAUCCCCAGGUCACAUCUACCCAGCCCGAUAGCGAACUCAAGUUCACAAGCACAGCUGUACUGACGCCAGCACUGAAAGUGUUGACCCCAGGCCCCAUCUCCUUGAACAAGGCCCAACAACUGAAGGAGCUGUCACCUCCCCGCUGUCUGCAUUACGUUAAGACGGUGGUGCCCAAGGGCAGCAAACGCCGCAUGAGACGGUCAAGAGUCACGAGAAACAGGCAGGCGCUUGAAGAAAGGUGUAAUAAAUACAAGAAAGAGGUUCUGAGAAAGAGGAGAAUAUAUCGAGAUCUCCAAGGGAAGAGAGAUGGACUGAUUGCAAGAGCUGCAGCGAAAGUGGCCGCUCGGUUAGCUGCAAAGUACCCCAGGGCCCUCUCUGAAGCGGAGGCAGAGAGCGAUGUUGAAGGGGAGAAAAAAACAAUGCCUGAAGAAGUGAUUAAGGGGAAACUAAAGAAGAAGGUUUGUAAUUACUUCUGGAAGUACAUUAUUAUCAUUGGUACGAUAGACCGUGGCUUACUUCUAUGCUGUUCUCACUUUGUCAUUAUUGCUUGUGUCUUUUUUACUAACGAUAUUAUUCACCAUUCAGUCAUAUUUUUAUUGACAUGC
ensembl:lncRNA